GAUGAACGCUAGCGGGAGGCCUAACACAUGCAAGCCGAGCGGUAUUGUUUCUUCGGAAGAGAGAGAGCGGCGUACGGGUGCGGAACACGUGUGCAACCUGCCUUUAUCUAGAGGAUAGCCUUUCGAAAGGAAGAUUAAUACUCUAUAAUAUAUUAAUUGGCAUCAAUUGAUAUUGAAAACUCCGGUGGAUAGAGAUGGGCACGCGCAAGAUUAGCUAGUUGGAGAGGUAACGGCUCACCAAGGCAAUGAUCUUUAGGGGGCCUGAGAGGGUGAUCCCCCACACUGGUACUGAGACACGGACCAGACUCCUACGGGAGGCAGCAGUGAGGAAUAUUGGUCAAUGGGUGCAAGCCUGAACCAGCCAUCCCGCGUGAAGGAUUAAGGUCCUAUGGAUUGUAAACUUCUUUUGUAUAGGGAUAAACCUACCCUCGUGAGGGUAGCUGAAGGUACUAUACGAAUAAGCACCGGCUAACUCCGUGCCAGCCGCCGCUGUAAUAC
rnacentral:rRNA from 1 species